GUGCUUGCUUGGGUAGCACAUAUACCAAAAUUGGAACGACCCCUGCACAGGGAUGAAAUGCAAAUUCGUGAAGCAUACCGUAUUUUU
rnacentral:snRNA from 1 species